GAGUACGGCGGAACACGUGAAAUUCCGUCGGAAUCCGGGAGGACCAUCUCCCAAGGCUAAAUACUCCCUAGUGACCGAUAGUGAACCAGUACCGUGAGGGAAAGGUGAAAAGCACCCCGGAAGGGGAGUGAAACAGUUCCUGAAACCGUGUGCCUACAAGUAGUUAGAGCCCGUUAAUGGGUGAUAGCGUGCCUUUUGUAGAAUGAACCGGCGAGUUACGAUUUGUUGCAAGGUUAAGCGGAAAAAGCGGAGCCGUAGCGAAAGCGAGUCUGAAUAGGGCGCAUAAGUAACAGGUCGUAGACCCGAAACCAGGUGAUCUACCCAUGUCCAGGAUGAAGGUAAGGUAAUACUUACUGGAGGUCCGAACCCACGCACGUUGAAAAGUGCGGGGAUGAGGUGUGGGUAGCGGAGAAAUUCCAAUCGAACUUGGAGAUAGCUGGUUCUCUCCGAAAUAGCUUUAGGGCUAGCCUCGAGGUAAAGAGUCAUGGAGGUAGAGCACUGUUUGGACUAGGGGCCCUUCUCGGGUUACCGAAUUCAGAUAAACUCCGAAUGCCAUGUACUUAUACUCGGGAGUCAGACUGCGAGUGAUAAGAUCCGUAGUCGAAAGGGAAACAGCCCAGACCACCAGUUAAGGUCCCCAAAUAUAUGUUAAGUGGAAAAGGAUGUGGGGUUGCUUAGACAACCAGGAUGUUGGCUUAGAAGCAGCCACCAUUGAAAGAGUGCGUAAUAGCUCACUGGUCGAGUGACCCCGCGCCGAAAAUGUACCGGGGCUAAACAUAUUACCGAAACUGUGGAUGAACCUCUUUAGAGGUUCGUGGUAGGAGAGCGUUCUAAGGGCGGUGAAGUCAGACCGGAAGGACUGGUGGAGCGCUUAGAAGUGAGAAUGCCGGUAUGAGUAGCGAAAGAAGGGUGAGAAUCCCUUCCACCGAAUAUCUAAGGUUUCCUGAGGAAGGCUCGUCCGCUCAGGGUUAGUCGGGACCUAAGCCGAGGCCGAUAGGCGUAGGCGAUGGACAACAGGUAGAGAUUCCUGUACCAGUGCUAAUUGUUUAACCGAUGGGGUGACACAGAAGGAUAGGGAAUCGCACGAAUGGAAAUGUGCGUCCAAGCAGUGAGUGUGAG
rnacentral:rRNA from 1 species